UACGUAGGUGGCGAGCGUUGUCCGGAUUUACUGGGUGUAAAGGGCGUGUAGCCGGGCAGGCAAGUCAGAUGUGAAAUCCAUGGGCUCAACCCAUGAACUGCAUUUGAAACUGCUUGUCUUGAGUACUGGAGAGGCAGACGGAAUUCCUAGUGUAGCGGUGAAAUGCGUAGAUAUUAGGAGGAACACCAGUGGCGAAGGCGGUCUGCUGGACAGCAACUGACGGUGAGGCGCGAAAGCGUGGGGAGCAAACAGG
rnacentral:rRNA from 1 species